CGAAAUGAAAAGUAAUUCAGAAAUGCAAUUUAGCGAUGACCUCUCCUCUGGGUGGCUAUGAAAAACAGCCUUGUUUUCUUUUUAUAAAGAAAUGCUGGCAUGCUUGACUUUAGUGAAUCAAGAGAAUUGUUUGGCAAAUAACAGUGAUGGUGUGUGUCCUUGUCAGAACACCUGCUGUAUUCUCCCAGCAAACACUGGGGCCACGGCGUCUCUCCUCUAAUGACACCUCAUCAAUCCGCUCCUAUCAAUGUCCCAGCCAUGGAGGUGACUUCGAGUGCUCAGAAGCCUUAGAAAAUGUCAACGUUUUGGGAGAAAAGGUGAGGAAAAAGAGACAAGAGUUUGGCAGCAAGUAACUUCCAGAGCUGGGAAUCAAGCUAAGCUUGCUGACAUGGUGUAUCCUGAAAUGGAGAGAGUUAAAUGAAGAAUUUGAAAUCCUCCUAAGGCCAGAAACCUGCGCGUGCUUUGGAUAUUGGAAAUCCAGAUGUGAUAACCAGAGCUCAGCAGCUUCAUUUUCACCUUGAGAAUGGAUGUUAAACAUGGUAAGAUGAUAACAUAAGCUGUUACGUGAAAGAGCCAGAUCCAGGAGAUGGUGAAGCUAAGGUAGGAGCCCAGAGAGGGCUAUAUUCAUAUUUUAACAUGAGAAAUUAAAUCUUUAGUGAUUAAACCUUGAGUUUUUGGCAUUCUAUUACCCUCAGUCAAAUGCAAUUUAAAACUGACACAGAGCUAAAUGAAGAAAACAAACAAACAAAAAUGUUAAAAGUGACAUUCAUUUUUUUUAAAUGUGUGUAAGAUUAAGGAAAACUGUAUUUGAAAGUCAUUUUAAUUAAGUAUACAAUCUACCUGGUUCUUGGCAAAAAUAACACAAAAUUUUAAAAGUAUUAACAUGGCAACAUUGUGAUAUACAUGUUGUCACUUGACAGAGCUGAGUCUGAACUUUUGGAAAUGAUCUCUUUUGGCUUUUAGAACACUGCCAUUGCCAGCAGCAACUUAUAAUUGUAUGACUUUUCCUUAGUCAUCUUUGGAUCAUCUUCCUUCAUACACUUUCAAAGGCUGUAGCUCCUCGAUGUUUAAUUCUCAACCUUUCCUCUUCUCCUUAGUAUAUAUUCCUGGGCGAACUCCUCAGAUGACACAGAAUAUCUACUAUUGGAUUUAUGGGUUUAUGAGCCAGGACUCAAACCUAUAUGUCUAAUGAGCAUCCUUUAGGAAUUUCAAAAUUACCACUGUAUAAACAUCUCCUUUAUUUUUAUUUUCAUUUUCUAUCCCAGCCUCCUCAAUAUGCUUCUCCUAAAAUAUCCCCCAGUUUAAUUAACCACUGACCUCACCUAAACUAGAUUCUUAGUCUCCUAUUUCUUUUCUCUCCCAUUCAUGACUAAUCAGUCAUUAACUGCCACCUCAGACUUGGAGGCUGGAUUGCUUUUCCUUCUCUCUGCAUAAUAGGAUUUUGAGUUAGAUUAUUCAUCCUGGAACAGUCUCAUGACCAACUUCUUCCAACCACUUAUUUCUCCUUCUCAUAGUUCAUUCUCUACUCAUAGCUCGUGGGACCACUGUUUACCUAUAAAACAAAAUUCUAAAUACAGUCAUGUUUAUUGAUUGCUCAUUGCCUACAAGCCAUUGUUCAGAUUUCUUGUCUUGUCAGGGAAGUUUCCCUUAUGACAUAUCUUCAAUGAUAAGUUCUAUGCCCCAGCCUAACUGAAGUUCCUCAAGUACACUGUGUCUUUCAUACUUUCUGAAGCAUUCUCUUGUCUCUGCCUAAAGCUUCAUCUUUUUUCUCCAUUUUCUUUGUCUAUUGUGCUCUUUUACAUAAUUCCAAAUUUAUAUUAAAAGUUGAUUUUCUUGCAAUGCCUUGAUCAAUUCUACUACAGAGUUGGUUAUUUUCUUAUCUGUGGUACCAUAAAAUCUAGGAUAGUACUUACAAUACUAUAGUAUAUAGUUUAUGAUCUGUGAGUUUAUGAAUUUAUCUUCCAUAUUGAACUUGAAGUUCUUGAGGCCAUAGGCAUUUUUAAGCAUUAUUUCUCUUUUCUUCCUGAGCUUUAAAAAAAGAUGUUAAUUGAAAAGAUCUCUCUUUUUUCUAUGUAAUGGAUACAAUAGAACUGUACUUAAUCUUUAGAUUUAUAAGACGGGUACUCAGCAGUGGUGCACAGAGGUGUAAAUUGUUUUUUAAAACAGAUUUUUUUCCUGGCCAAGUCUAAUACUUAAAAGACACAUAUUCAUGAAGAUAUGUUGCAACUUUAGAAUGGACAAAAGUAAGUGUCUAUAGCUUUUAUUAAAACAAAAUUCAUUCAAAUUAUCUCAGUUUGACCAAACCCUCUAGUCUUAAAACAAAUAUGUCAGAGAAAAAUGUACCUGUAGGUCAAUUUUCUAUGAUUAGUAUGACAUUUCACUGUCCACAGAAUUUAAAUGGGUCUUCACAUCUUAGUUUCAAAGUUUGAAGAGGUUGAUCCAUGCAUUUUACUUUUAUCUGCACUGAUUGUAUUGCUUCUGAAAAAGACUACAUUUUUAGCUUUGAAGUCUAGAUCCUGAUUUAGCCAAAGAAGAGGAUAAGAGAAACAGCUUCAGUUGGGUUUUUCAUUUACAGAACAACCUGACCUGAUUUUGAAGCUGAGUGAGUAUGAAGGAGAUAAUUUUCAAUCCCUGUUAACUCCAUUUGGAUGACUAGGGCACUGACCUCCUAAAAAGGAACCAACAAAAACUUUACAAAAUCCUAAUAGCAAUCAUCCACAGUUAUAUUUUCAAUCAUACCAAGUAUCAGAAAUAGAUUUUUUAAAAAAUGCCAGACCAUUAGUAAAUUCCCCUGUCCCUUCCUCAAAUCAGUCAACUUCUCUAUAAAAUGUAGUGGUAUCCUCAGCAAUAGCCCCUCCUAUUUCUUUUCUAAAGAAAGUUUGCAACAUCAAAAUGAAAUCAAGUAAGAAAUUAAAAUGGGCUAUAAUAUGCUACAAGAUAUGAUGUUAUAUUUGUUUCUUGGCUUGAUAAUAAUAUGACUUCUUUCAAGGAAACUCAAAUUUUAAAAAUAAAUAAUUGGCUCCUAAAAAUAGCAUUUAUUACCAAUAAUUGUCUAUGUUUCUCUUUUCAUAAUAUUACUACUAUAUAUCAUCACCCAUACUCUACUAGCUAAGGGUCAAAAUAAUCAUUUGUCUAAUAACUAUUUAAAAUAUCAGAGAUUUUGGCCCCAUGAAUCUAAAUAUUGCAGAUAAAAAAAAUAAAAUAAUGCUGAUAAAUACAAUACACUACUUGCAUUAUCCAGGCUGUUACAGUGCUCAGUUAUGAAAAUAUAUCUUAAUAAAAUUUUCAUUUUUAUUUACAUAAUAGUGUGCAUUACAAAUACCAAAAAUAUCUUGAGCUGUUUACUUGAAGAAAUCAGCAUUUUGGAAAUACAUGUAGAGUUUUAGCUUAGGAACUGUGCUUAUAUGUGAUAAGUUUAUAUGUAUAUAAGUGAUAACAUUCAGCAAGUGCCCAAAAUACCAAAAUAUACAUGGUUAUAACAUCUCAAUUUUAGAUUUUAUUUUUAUUAAUAUGAAUGUAUACUUGUCACUUUAAGUAUCUGCCCAUGUAAUUACAUUUUGUUUUAUAUGAAUAGUGAGUCUUCCUUAAUAAAUAAAAUUUUACAGAUUGAUCAACUGAAUAGACAAAUGGACAGUGGUAAGACUAUAUAAAAAUAGAACUCUCACAGUAGAAUGUAUAUAGAAUAUCAUAUAAUUAUCCUUCUUAAUAUUUUUCAAUCCUUGAUAUGCUUUGUAAAUUCUUCACAUUAGUAACUAUAGCUGAUUUAAACUACAGUAUAGUAUUUAAAUCUAUAACUAUAUUAAAUUCUUUUUUCUAUUAGUGGGCACUUAGAUUUUUUCAUUUCUUAUGAUUGUCAGCAAUGCUUUGGUAAAUCUCCUUGUAGAUUUCUUUUUGUCCAUAUUUUACAUGUGUGAGAAUUUCUUUAGUGUCCAUACCUACUAGUGGAAUUGUUGGGCCUUAUAAUAUGGGCUUCUUCAACUUAAUAUAAUAUUGUAAAAUUACUCAAUGUAAUUGUAUCUAUUCUAAAAUCAAUUGUACAUGUUACUUAUAUCCUCUGACUUUUAAAAUUUUGCUAAUCUGAUGGCUGUUAAAUUGUAUGCCACUGUCAUUUUUAUUUGCACUUCCCUAUUGAAAUUUAGCAUCCUUUCAAAUACUUAUUAGCAAUUUCCAGUUUGUCUGGAAGAAGUCAUUUGACCAUUUCCUGUUGCACAUUUAUCUUUUCUCAUUGAUUUGCAAAUGAGAAAAUUCACUGGACAACUUAAACAGAUAAAGAAGAUUUUGUUCAAGACUAUUCCACUAAAAGAAAGAGAUUGAACUCAAUUCUGUGAAACAAAAUAGGGAAGAAUUUUUAAGUACUGGGAUGAGCUAGUGGAAAAAUAAUGGAUGAUAUUAUGAGUAAUGGUCUAACAAAAGGGAGAUUCUGGACUUAUAGUGAGGAAGAAACCUGUAUCAAGUUUAGUGAAGCCAAGGGGAAUGAGAAACAUGAAGUCCUUUUUGGUCAUAAUAAAUAAAACUCAUAUAUAAGAGUUUUUAAUUUCUAGAUAUAAAUUCUUUUCUGGACUUUUAAUUUUUCUUAUGUGGGUCAUUUUUACUGAAAAAAAUUCAAGUAUUACUGAAUCAGAUUUGUCAACACUUUCCUUGAUGGUUUGUGCUUGGAAUUAAUGCAGCAGUAGAAAUAUUUUUGGGUACUUUCACCUUGGAAAGGAUUUGAAGCUUACACUGGCAAUGUAGUCAGAAGAAGUAAAUUAAAACUGAAAAACUAUACAGUAUUUUUGCUCCUAAACUUGAAACUAAUGCAUACUGUUGUGUUUCCAGGUAACAUUUUGAUUCUUUUUAUCUUUUGCAUAUUUAUAUGGAUAUUUCUAUCUAGAUAUAUAAAGCAUGAAAAAAAUGCGAUUUUAUUCAAUACUACCAAGGCAUGUAAUAUACAUACAAUAUAAUGUAUUUGUUAUAAACAUACAGUUUGAUGAGUUUUGACAAAAGCAUACACUGUAUAAAAACCACUCUCAUCAGGAUAUAGAAUAUUUUUAUCACCCCAAAGAGUUUUCCUUGCUCUUUGUUAUCCCCUGAACCCCGCUUCAUACCUUGCUCCCCCCUCCCCUCACUGGCCUGCUAGCAAUCACUGAUCUGCUUUGUAUCACUACAAGUCAGUUUCUCCAUUUCUAGUCUAACACACACAUGAAAUUUUAUAGUAUGGACUCCUUUGUAUCUGGCUUCUACUAGCAUGUUUUAGCAGUUCAAUCAUGUUAUACAUAUAGUAGUAUUUUUUGAUUGAUGAGUUUUAUACCCUUAUAUGGAUAUACCAAUAUUUGUUUAUCCAGUCCAUAGACAUGGAGUUGUUUUCAGUUUGGGGCCAUUAUGACUAAUGGUAUUAUGCUUAUGUAAGUAUAAGUAUUUCCAGAAGUUCCCGUUGUGGCUCAGGAGGUUAAGAAUGCAAUUAGUAUCCAUGAGGAUGUAGGUUCAAUCCCUGACCUCUCUCAGGGGGUUAGCAAGCCAUGGCAUAGGUGCAGAUGUGGCUCGAAUCUGGCAUUGCUGUGGCUGUGGUGUAGGCCAGCAGCUGCAGUUCCAAUUUUGACCCCAGCCUGGGAACCUUCAUAUGCCACAGGUGCAGC
rnacentral:lncRNA from 1 species